GCUCCUAGCCUCCCAAUCUCCUCUCUCCCGACGCCGCUUCUCUCUUCCUUCUCUCUUCCCCUUCCCUCUUCCCGCUGCGGAUGCCGGAUGGAGAAGCCGGUGCGCGCACAGGGCGGAGGACGGAGGGCGGCGGCCGGCAGACGGCACGGGAGGAGGCGGUGACGGCCAGCGUGGGCACGGCGAAGGCCAACGGCCGGCGUGCGAGAAGGCGGGGGACGGUGGCCGGCGGACGGCGCGGGAGGAGGCGGUGACGGCCGGCGUGCGAGAAGGCGAGGGACGGCGGCCUGCGCGGCAUACUGAGGUUUGAAGCAGGAACUGAGAGAACUAUGGAAUGUCAGGACUCAGGAGAUGAUCUUACGCUGUGCUCAAUAUGUCAGGAUGAACGUUGUACUCCUUGGCAAACACAAACGGCACGAUUCCUUGAGAAGAACUCCACGCAGCCCAACAGCAAUGGAGGCAGCAGCCAUGACUGCUGGACCCAUGAGGAACCGGACGGCCAUCGCGAAUGCAGCAAGUUUGUUCCCACAGGCAAUGAUCCGUGGCUGCAAUGCCAUGAACAAGCCUGAAAGAAUAGACAGUUAUGCCUGCAGCUAUUAAGCCAUACAUGAUACAGCCAUACAGGAAUAGAAUUACAGAAACAUAGAGCAAUGAGAUAUCAGAUAUCCACACACCUAGACUGAACAUUGCCAUCCCAAGCCCUGCAUCUGACAGGAUCGAGAUUGACCGGGCGAUGAUCGCGGGCAUUUCAAUCCCCCACCUAGAUUAUAGAGCACAGACCGCAUAAGACACAACACAAAUGCAGGGACGACUAAUGCUGAAUAUGAGAAAUUGACAUCGAUUGGGCGACCUGUAUGAGACCAGGGACCAGAUGACACCAAUUAGGCUGGAGUAGGUGUUGGGGUUCCUGAUCAGCUUCCUCCAGACCAUGAUCAGGAUGAGCCUCGUCAUCACGCUCGCCAGCGGCAUGGCGGCAGGCCUCCCCUCGCCGUCGCCCUUGGGGUAGAGCUGGGCGAUCGAGUUGGACCCGAGCUUGGACAGGGUCGGGCCGCCCUUGUCUGCGCCGUUCCCGUUCUUGGUCCUGCUGAAAUCGUCACGACCGUACUCGUCGUAGGCCUGGGUUCCUGUGCAGGCAAAACAAGAUAAAAAAUGACAAUUUGGUUCAGCAAGCCAUCUCGCAUUCUCCAAUUCACAGAUGUAAGCAAAGCAUUUAGCAUAGUUAAAAGCAGAGGAUGCUAAAGAAAUUUUGGUAUUUAUUCAAGAAAAUUCAGUUUCUGAAUA